GCUUGUCUCAAAGAUUAAGCCAUGCAUGUCUAAGUAUAAAUGGUAUACAGUGAAACUGCGAAUGGCUCAUUAAAACAGUUAUAGUUUAUUUGGUAUUCGAAUUUACAUGGAUAACCGUGGUAAUUCUAGAGCUAAUACAUGCGCAAAGUCCUGACCUCGCGGAAAGGAUGUGUUUAUUAGAUACAAUCAACCCUUCGGGUGCUUGGUGAAUCAUAAUAACCGAACGAACCGCAUGCGAAAGCGGCGGUGGUUCAUUCAAGUUUCUGCCCUAUCAGCUUUCGAUGGUAGGGUAUUGGCCUACCAUGGCUUUAACGGGUAACGGAGAAUUAGGGUUCGAUUCCGGAGAGGGAGCCUGAGAGAUGGCUACCACAUCCAAGGAAGGCAGCAGG
rnacentral:rRNA from 1 species